AAAAUGGCAGUGCCCAACAGCAGCAGCAUCUUCAUCGCAAAAUCAGCGUCGUCUGCGGUCUUCCCAUUGUCAUCAUGUGGAAUGAGUGGCGGCAGUAUUGACUUCGAGCCCAGAGGGAGUAGGAGGAUGGAAGCUGGGCGAUCAAAGUUGCGCCUUGUAUGUGCGGUUGGUCGCACCAAUACUAGUGGUAAUAGCAAUAGUAGCAGCAGCAGCGAUGGCAGUAGGAAGAAAGGGGUGCCAAAUUCGAAUUAUGUGGUGCCCUUGGAUAAAUCCUU
rnacentral:misc_RNA from 1 species